GGCCGCUGCAAAGACACCGGCUGCACCAGGGGAGGUGCCGCCAGAGCUGCGCACUCAGCAAAGCCAGGGUGCCCACAGCAGAAUCCACAUGCCGUCCAUCUGGUCCAGCCUCACGCAGAGCCACAACUGUGCUGGCGCCUGGAGCUGCCAGCCCCACUGCAGCAGCCGGACUGACAUUCAGACGUGGAGCAAGUUGGACUGCAUAGGGACCCACCAGUGAGAUGGACGCUGUCUGUAAACGACUUUCACUGAAUGUGCUAAGAAGAGAAACCCCUCUGCAGACACACACAGACGUUCUGCAGUUUCCCAAUCUCUGGUGCAGUUCUGGCCUUUUGGGGCUUUAAGGGCUUUGGCUAAGGUUCUCCAGGGAGGCUGCUCUGCCAAGUCUGGUAUUUCAUGAAUAGAUCUGAAAACAGACAUUAUCUCUUCUCCCAGUGAAGAGAGAGCGAUGAAGCCUCAGGACAAAAGGAGGCAGUGGGAUGAUGCCACCAAGGGACCAUUCUGAAGAGCCAUCAGCAAAAAGCAGCCACACCUGCUUAUGUGGCUCUGGGACAAAUGAUCUGAGCCGUGACGUGGAACUUAGAUGCAGUAAAGUCCAUUGUAUUGAGCCUUCUCUGGCACUCCUCCCAAAACAGAGAGACAACAGUUCUGUUAUGUUUUGUUUGGUUUGGUCUCCCUCAACUCAUCAAUGAGCCUUUUUAAAAAGAAUAAUUCGGUACUUUCUUUAAAGGUGGUAGAA
rnacentral:lncRNA from 1 species